GAUGAACUCUGGCGGCAUGCCUAAUACAUGCAAGUCGAACGAGAGGAAGGAAAGCUUGCUUUCCUAAAUCUAGUGGCGAACGGGUGAGUAACACGUAGGUAACCUGCCCAUGUGCCCGGGAUAACUUCUGGAAACGGAUGCUAAAACCGGAUAGGUAGCAGACAAGCAUUUGACUGCUAUUAAAGUGGCUAAGGCCAUGAACAUGGAUGGACCUGCGGUGCAUUAGCUAGUUGGUGAGGUAACGGCCCACCAAGGCGACGAUGCAUAGCCGGCCUGAGAGGGCGGACGGCCACAUUGGGACUGAGACACGGCCCAAACUCCUACGGGAGGCAGCAGUAGGGAAUUUUCGUCAAUGGGGGGAACCCUGAACGAGCAAUGCCGCGUGAGUGAGGAAGGUCUUCGGAUCGUAAAGCUCUGUUGUAAGAGAAAAACGGCACUCAUAGGGAAUGAUGAGUGAGUGAUGGUAUCUUACCAGAAAGUCACGGCUAACUACGUGCCAGCAGCCGCGGUAAUACGUAGGUGGCGAGCGUUAUCCGGAAUGAUUGGGCGUAAAGGGUGCGUAGGUGGCAGAUCAAGUCUGGAGUAAAAGGUAUGGGCUCAACCCGUACUUGCUCGGGAAACUGAUCAGCUAGAGAACAGAAGAGGACGGCGGAACUCCAUGUGUAGCGGUAAAAUGCGUAGAUAUAUGGAAGAACACCGGUGGCGAAGGCGGCCGUCUGGUCUGGAUUCUGACACUGAAGCACGAAAGCGUGGGGAGCAAAUAGGAUUAGAUACCCUAGUAGUCCACGCCG
rnacentral:rRNA from 1 species